rnacentral:lncRNA from 10 species
CUUGGAAGCACUCAUGAGUCAAGUGCAAAUGGCUUACAAACUACAGAUGUCUUAGCUGGGGAGUGUGUGCUUACAGAUGUCUACGUGCUUGCAUUUCUAUUUUUGCAAUCCUUCCAGAUCCAGGCCAUGAAGGCCCUUGAGAAGUCCCGUGACAGCAUUCAUGAGCAAAGCGGUCUAAGAAGAAUGUGAAGAAUACCAGGUAGUGAAGACUGUAAUUUCACGGAAACACCCCCCAGCCUCGCAGGAAGAACCAGGAUUCUCCUGAGGAUUAAAUGGGCUGGCAUUCAUAAAGCUCCUAAGACCUGCUUGGUGCUUGAGCAGAAGUCAGAUGUGCCAAUUCGUGGUUUACAUGGAAUACCUCCAUUCCUGCCUAUCCUCCUGUUUCUACCUGCUGCCACUGGAAGGGUUGCUUGGAGCUUUGCGAUAAUCUUUACUUUCAGCCAGGGAGAAAGGAGAAAGCUGCCCAAGGCAGGGAGUGCUUGGGGGAGCAUCCUGUAGGAAUGCACUCUGUGGACCUUGCUCAGUUCAGACCAACAGGUGUUCAUUGCAUUCCAGGCCUGUUUGCUUCCAGGAAUGCACAGGAGUGAGGCCUCAGGAUUCAAGACUUCUGGAUGUUGUUUCACUUAUAUAUUUUUCACUUUAGGAUAAUGCAUUUACUGGGAAAAAUAAACAAUUGUAGCUCAAGGCUGAGGCCCAGAUGAAGUGCGGGAUCCCUGGCAAGAGUGUAGCCCCGCGUGCACGUGCCCUCCCUGUGCUGUUUUGGUGGGGAGGGCAGCUCACAGGGCUCACGGGAAAGGAAGCAAGCAUGUUAGAGGUGGCUGCAUUGUAAGAGUAAAUUCCAUCUGAUUUACAAAGUCCUCAGAGCAGCUCCCUGUGGCUCUGGCAGCUAACUGAUCCAGUUAAUGGAAAGGGCGUGGCCUUGUGCCUGGCUUCUGAUGUGCCCUCGCUGUAAUCCCACCCGCGCCAUGGUCUAGCCACACUGGGCGGCCUCUCCCUGCUCGCUCCUCUCCUCUGCUUUCGUCUGCUGGGACUUCUCCCACGGCUGCACCACGUUAGGGCCUGCUGGGUGGCCGCAUGGGAUGCAUUUUCUACCACAGAUGGCCAUGGCUGAGGGCAGAUGGGCCUCCUGAAGGUAGGUCCAUCCCGGCUGCAGUGGACGCAGGGCUCCCGAGAAACUCAGUUGCUGAGAAGUGUCGUUUUCCAAUCAGCUAGCCUAGACUGCACCCGUGGAUUUUAACGCUUUCUUUGCUGUCAGAGCCUAGGCAAAGGUUCCUGCGAAAUUUCUGCCCUCAGGAAAUGAAGCCGUGUUUCUAGAGGGAGCUUGAACCUCUGAGCCUCACUUCACCUCUUUUGAUGUGUCUUUGUCAAACUCUGAAUACUCUUGAUUCAGAUGUCCAUAAAGUCAAGAAGAUGAUCACAAAAUAUAAAAAGCUGAUGAAUCUUUUGGAAAGUUAACAAUUUUCUUUAGGAGUUUUUCUCUUCCCUGUGUAAAAUGUUCCCCCCAGUUUGCCUCUUCAUGAUCCAUUCAGAGCUGUGUCAGGAGGGAGAUAAAGAAGCAGAAGGACCCAUGUGAAUUUCUCCCUGACGUUUCCAUGCCCUCCCUCCCAUUCAGACACGACCCCCUUUCAAGCGUUGCAAGCGGGAAGCAACCUACUGGUUAUGGGUAUUCUGAAAAUACUGUAGAAAAACAUAGUCCCAGAGGACACUCAGAGAGAAGCCGUAGAGCUAAGAGACCAGAUUCUAGUUCUGAUACUCUAAGUAGCUAUGCAACCUGUGGUUAAAAAAAAAUAAGAAAGAAACUCGACUAUAUUGACAAAUUACCAUGUGUCAGGCACUUUACAUGCAUUUUCUUAUUUAAUCCUCACAAGGUACUCCUAAGAAAGGUAAUUUUCUACUUACUUUGCAGAUAAACAAACUGUGAUUCAGAGUCUGUGAACUAUUCCAAGUUAACAUCAGUAGUAUGCAAAUAAAACAGAAAACUCAGACAUCAGUUUGGAUUUCAGGAUGAAAACAGACUGAAUUCGAACACGCCCCAGGCAAGGGGUCCA